UUUGGCCACUCCUUUUCAGUUUUCCCCAAAAUGUCAAGUCGGUGAUCUCCCGAAUCCGACCAUCGAAACACAGUCAAAACAAUCAUCAGGCAAUUAAAGAAACGAAAGAAAGCUCUUCCCCCCGUACUUCCAAAAUUGUCGCUCCGACCAAAUCGCAAUGAGCAGCAGCUCAGGAGGGUCCGGACCUUCGCCGACGGCGUCUACCUCGACGGAGAAGAAAAAGGACAAAGCGAGUGUGAGCAGGACGUCUCUGAUACUGUGGCACGCCCACCAGAACGACGCCGCGGGGGUGCGGAAGUUGCUGGAGGAGGAUCGCUCGCUCGUCCACGCUAGGGAUUACGACAAUCGCACUCCGCUCCACGUCGCGUCGCUUCACGGCUGGAUAGACGUCGCCAAAUGUUUAAUCGAGUACGGGGCCGACGUCAACGCCCAGGAUCGCUGGAAGAACACGCCUCUAGCUGAUGCCGAAGGAGCUAAAAAGCAUGAGAUGAUUGAGUUAUUAAAUUCAUAUGGUGGUCUUUCCUUUGGCCAAAAUGGAAGCCAUUUUGAACCAAAGCCUGUUCCACCACCUCUACCAAAUAAGUGUGAUUGGGAGGUUGAUCCCUCUGAGCUGGACUUCUCAAGUUCAAGUGUCAUUGGAAAGGGAUCUUUUGGUGAGAUUCUAAAAGCAUCUUGGCGUGGAACACCAGUAGCUGUCAAACGCAUUCUUCCAAAGCUUUCAGAUGAUAGAUUGGUGAUUCAGGACUUCAGGCAUGAGGUAAAUUUGUUGGUGAAGCUCCGCCAUCCAAAUAUAGUCCAAUUCCUUGGAGCUGUAACUGAUAGAAAGCCUCUAAUGUUAAUCACUGAGUACCUACGUGGGGGUGACCUUCAUCAGUACCUAAAGGACAAGGGUGCGCUUAAUACACUAACAGCUAUCAACUUUGCAUUAGACAUUGCCAGGGGUAUGGCUUAUCUUCAUAAUGAGCCAAAUGUUAUAAUUCACAGAGACCUAAAGCCAAGGAAUGUUCUUCUUGUCAACUCAAGUGCAGACCACUUAAAAGUUGGGGACUUUGGACUAAGCAAACUCAUUAAGGUUCAAAAUUCUCAUGAUGUCUACAAAAUGACUGGAGAGACUGGAAGUUAUCGGUAUAUGGCUCCUGAAGUUUUCAGCCACCGGAAGUAUGAUAAGAAGGUUGAUGUGUUCUCUUUUGCUAUGAUACUUUAUGAGAUGCUUGAAGGUGAUCCACCAUUCUCACACUUUGAACCUUAUGAAGCAGCAAAACAUGUGGCAGAAGGACAGAGGCCCACCUUCAGGGCCAGGGGAUAUAUUUCUGAAUUGAGGGUGAGUAUCUUGGACAGUGGAGGGUAAAUUGAUGAAAAAACUCUCUACACCUACAUCUGUGAGCUUAAGUAUCCAAGCUUUCUGCCUUUUAGCUUUGAGUUCUGUAUUCAUCCUCACUUUGGUUAAUAGAGCGGUGCUGGGCUGCAGACAUGAAUCGAAGACCCUCUUUUUUGGAAAUUCUUGCCAGGCUCGAAAAGAUCAAGGAGACUGUAUCAUCAGAUCAUCACUGGCACAUCUUUACUUCUUGACUCAAUAGAGCCGAGCAUGAGUGCAGCUAUAGAAGUGUUAUUCCUGUAUCUGUUUGUGUGAAGGGGUUUAAAUGGACUCAAUUAGGUGAUUUUUUCAAGGCUGCAGUUUAACCUGACCUUGCAAUCAGGUGGCUGUUAUUAAUGGUGCUCAACAGUCGAGUCUUCUAUCCCUUGAGACUCCACCUGGAUCUAUGAAUAGAUGGGUCAACUUUUAACAUUUCAAAAAUGUUCAUUCUCUGACCCUACUAGUUCCCUUCCCCACUUUUGCCACUGUAAUUUGUUUCAAGUGAGUGCUAAUAUUCUGAAUUAUUAACUGCCCAGUUGUUUUUCCCGGCAGAAACACCAGACCUGAUCUCCUACUGUGAGACGGCCUUUAUAUCUUUACUUUGCCAUCUCUGUACAGUUUUAUGGCGUGUGAUUACUAUUGGUUGAUUUGUGUGAAAUAUUCCUGGAAGCUAUUUUCUUAA